AGUGAACGCUGGCGGUAGGCCUAACACAUGCAAGUCGAACGGCAGCACAGUAAGAGCUUGCUCUUAUGGGUGGCGAGUGGCGGACGGGUGAGGAAUACAUCGGAAUCUACUUUUUCGUGGGGGAUAACGUAGGGAAACUUACGCUAAUACCGCAUACGUCCUACGGGAGAAAGCAGGGGACCUUCGGGCCUUGCGCUAUC
rnacentral:rRNA from 1 species